GGUCACAAUGGUGUUAAGAUCUAAGGACCACACUUGGAACAGUUUUGCUAUCAAGGAGUGACUUUCAAAUUUUGGGACCAUUCAAAAAGGGAGCUGGGAGUCAGCCCACCAUGGAGAUGCUUGAUCAGAAGUGGUGGACUAAUUUUUGAUUGAAGGCACACGAAAGAGCUGGAUGAGGAAGCAUGCAGAGGGUGUCCGUACACUGGAGACUGAAAGAUCCAGUACAAGGUCUGGAGCUCACUACAGGUACCCUGCAAGUUCACAUCAGGCUGCCAAUGGGUCUGAUCUGGAAGCCAGAGAUGAUGUCCAAGGUGAAAGUGAAGACUGGAGCUUUCUGAAGAAACAGAAGCAGAUUCAGUAAGCAUAACUGCUUCCCAUUAUUCAAGCCAAAGAAAAAAAUUCAAGGAUACUUGAAUACAGUAUCAAUCACAGAGAAAUAUUCCUGAAGAUUUUUCCAGAGUUGAUAAUGAUAACUGCUCUGUCAGAUGCUCCUCCUUUUUAUUAAGCCAGGUAGCACAAUAAAGGCAAAUACUCAGCAAUCUCCAUUACCUAACACAGCCUAAGCUUGAAAGUGAGAAAUUUCAGUAAGCUUGCACAAAAGCUACACAGAGUUCUAAAUUUUAGAUCAGAGCUGCAACAUACUCCAGGCAAGGGGGCAAAGUAUUGGUGCUGU